ensembl:lncRNA
CGUCAGCAAAAUUUAGAAAGCGCAGAGACUUCUCUAGGCAAAUUGGAAUUGUUUGCAUUAAUUUAGAGCCAAAAAAAGUCUUAACAAGCUACUAAAAGCAAGACCAUUGAUGAGACCCUGCUUGCACAAGCACUUCCCUUUCUCAGGUGUUAGGGAAUGUCUAGAGAAGCCCACGAAAACCUUUGGAAUGCAGUGAGACAGAGAAGAAAAUAUCAUUCAUUUUUUUUUUUUCUGUAGUCUGGGCACAGUAUUUUACUCAGCGCACACACAAGGGGAAAAUAUUAGCAGCACGGCUGUUACUGGAGUUAAAGAUUAACUUGGCUAGAGAAAAUGAAAGGCAGCAAGUAUCACUGGUUAAUUGAUUUUAUUGUAACUUUAUCCAAACGCCCUACCAUAGUAAGCACCGUGUAAGCAAAUAGGAUGACUGACCACCUUUCCUGAAGAACCAGCAACACAGAAAUCAUAAACAAAGCACUAAGAGACAAACAGGUUCUCUGGGCCCCAUCCCCUCAGGAAAAAAUACGAUCUUAUCUUGGAAAUACACCAGGCUCCACAGCAAAAGAGCUGCACAAGAGCAGAGAACCCCAGGAAACCCUCAUCACAUGGAGCUGCAAAUUUCACCAGUGUUUCUCAUCUGCUUCUUCAGGGUCAGUCAGCUUCAGAAUUUAACACUGGUGAGCACCCCAACACUUCCAUGUUUGUAUCUCUAGCCCAGCUGGGUCUCAUCUGUAUUCACCUGAAGGGAGCUCACUGAACGUAAAGAGUGUCCCACCUGACCGUGUUUUGGUCCUAAAGUCAUUCCUAUUUACUUUUAUCUGAAAAUGAUCGCUCAAAGUAAAAACAGCUACACGGGCCCAACUAUAAUGACACAGACUUUCCUCCUCUCUAAAUAAAUAUGAACAGGACUAAAACUGAAUAAAAAUAACUGUUCUGUUGAAAAGUCCUGAGUGCGUACAUGUGGAAACUUCUAAGAGGCCAAUAAAUAAGACCAU